rfam:Schistosoma mansoni, Puerto Rico, WGS project CABG01000000 data, contig: 0010
AUCCAGAUGACGAGUCCCAAACAGGACGAAACGCGCGUCCUGGAU